rnacentral:rRNA from 1 species
UCCGUAGGCGGGUGUCUAAGUCAGUGGUGAAAUCUUACAGCUCAACUGUAAAAUUGCCAUUGAUACUGGAUGUCUUGAAUUAGUGUGAAGUGGUUAGAAUGUGUAGUGUAGCGGUGAAAUGCCUAGAUAUUACACAGAAUACCAAUUGCGAAGGCAGAUCACUAACACUAUAUUGACGCUGAGGGACGAAAGCGUGGGGAGCGAACAGGAUUAGAUACCCUGGUAGUCC